AAGCUUAUCGAUACCGUCCAGAGUACCACGAGACACGUGGAACCUUGUGGGAAAUCAGGGGGACCACCCCCUAAGGCUAAAUACUACUUAGUGACCGAUAGCGCAUAGUACUGUGAAGGAAAGGUGAAAAGGACCCCGGGAGGGGAGUGAAAGAGAACCUGAAACCCUGUGUCUACAAGCUGUGGAAGCACUUUAUAUGUGCGACCGCGUACUUUUUGUAGAACGGUCCGGCGAGUUACGCUUACUGGCAAGGUUAAGCACUUCAGGUGUGGAGCCGUAGGGAAACCAAGUCUUAAGAGGGCCUUAAGUCAGUAGGAGUAGACCCGAAACCGGGUGAUCUAUCCAUGUCCAGGUUGAAGCUGCCGUAAGAGGUAGUGGAGGACCGAACCCACAUCCGUUGAAAAGGGUGGGGAUGAGGUGUGGAUAGGGGAGAAAUUCCAAUCGAACCCGGAGAUAGCUGGUUCUCCUCGAAAUAGCUUUAGGGCUAGCCUCGAUACAGAUUUGCGGAGGUAGAGCACUGAAUUUCCUAGGGGGCGUCAAAGCCUACCGAAGAAUAUCAAACUCCGAAUGCCGCGUAAUCGAUUAUCGGGAGUCAGACUGCACGAGAUAAGUUGGGCGGUCAAAAGGGAAAGAGCCCAGACCUUCAGUUAAGGUCCCCAAGUGCGCGUUAAGUGGAAAAGGAUGUGGGAUUUCGAAGACAACCAGGAUGUUGGCUCAGAAGCAGCCAUCCAUUCAAAGAGUGCGUAAUAGCUCACUGGUCGAGAGGUCCUGCGCCGAAAAUGUCCGGGGCUGAAACGCGCCACCGAAACUAAGGAACCGAAAGGUUGGUAGAGGAGCAUUGCAUGCGGGAAGAAGCAGUACCGGAAGGAGCUGUGGACUGCAUGGAAGAGAGAAUGCCGGAAUGAGUAGCGAGAAUAAGGUGGGAAUCCUUAUGGCCGAAUAUCCAAGGUUUCCAGAGUAAAGCUGAUCUGCUCUGGGUAAGUCGGGGCCUAAGGCGAGGACGAGAGUCGUAGCCGAUGGACAACAGGUGGAGAUUCCUGUACUGCGGUAUGACAGAACUGUGGGGACACGUAAGGAAAGCGGAAGCCGGGAAUGGAAAGCCCGGUGCAAGCGGGGUACCAGUCACUCAGGCAAAUCCGGGUGGCAAUGGGAAGCCGUGAUGCGGAGCGAAAUAAAGUAGCGAAGUCCGUGAGCCAUGCGUCAAGAAAAGCCGCUAUCGUUUAUACCGUACCCGUACCGUAAACCGACACAGGUGGAUGAGGAGAGAAUCCUAAGGCCGGCGGAAGAAGCAUUGUCAAGGAACUCGGCAAAAUGGCCCCGUAACUUAGGGAUAAGGGGUGCCUGGGAAACCAGGCCGCAGAGAAUAGGCUCAAGCAACUGUUUAGCAAAAACACAGGUCUAUGCAAAACCGAAAGGUGAGGUAUAUGGGCUGACGCCUGCCCGGUGCUGGAAGGUUAAGGGGAGAGGUUAGCGCAAGCGAAGCUUUGAACUUAAGCCCCAGUAAACGGCGGCCGUAACUAUAACGGUCCUAAGGUAGCGAAAUUCCUUGUCGGGUAAGUUCCGACCCGCACGAAAGGCGUAAUGAUUUGAGCGCUGUCUCGACAAUGCAUCCGGUGAAAUUGAAGUACCAGUGAAGAUGCUGGUUACCUGCGCCAGGACGGAAAGACCCCAUGGAGCUUUACUCCAGUCUGGUACUGGGACUCGGUAUUGCAUGUACAGGAUAGGUGGGAGGCUAGGAGAUGGUAACGCCAGUUGCCAUGGAGCCGCUGUUGGGAUACCACCCUUGCAGUAUUGGGUUUCUAACCAGCCGCCGUGACCCGGCGGUGGGACAAUGCCAGACGGGGAGUUUGACUGGGGCGGUCGCCUCCGAAAGGGUAUCGGAGGCGCCCAAAGGUUCCCUCAGAAUGGACGGAAACCAUUCGAAGAGUGCAAAGGCAGAAGGGAGCUUGACUGCGACACCGACGGGUGGAGCAGGUACGAAAGUAGGGCUUAGUGAUCCGGUGGUAUUAAGUGGGAAUGCCAUCGCUCAACGGAUAAAAGCUACCCUGGGGAUAACAGGCUUAUCACUCCCAAGAGUUCACAUCGACGGAGUGGUUUGGCACCUCGAUGUCGGCUCAUCGCAUCCUGGAGCUGUAGCAGGUUCCAAGGGUUGGGCUGUUCGCCCAUUAAAGCGGUACGCGAGCUGGGUUCAGAACGUCGUGAGACAGUUCGGUCCCUAUCCGGCGUGGGCGUAGGAUAUCUGAGAGGAGCUGUCCUUAGUACGAGAGGACCGGGAUGGACGGGCCGCUGGUGCAUCGGUUAGACUGCCAAGUCUACGGCCGAGUAGCCAAGCCCGGAAGGGAUAAACGCUGAAGGCAUCUAAGCGUGAAGCCCCCCUUAAGAUGAGAUAUCCCAUUCGAAAGAAGUAAACCCCCUUGA
rnacentral:rRNA from 1 species